rnacentral:rRNA from 1 species
UACGUAGGGUGCAAGCGUUAAUCGGAAUUACUGGGCGUAAAGCGUGCGCAGGCGGUUCGCUAAGACAGAUGUGAAAUCCCCGGGCUUAACCUGGGAACUGCAUUUGUGACUGGCGGGCUAGAGUAUGGCAGAGGGGGGUAGAAUUCCACGUGUAGCAGUGAAAUGCGUAGAGAUGUGGAGGAAUACCGAUGGCGAAGGCAGCCCCCUGGGCCAAUACUGACGCUCAUGCACGAAAGCGUGGGGAGCAAGACGG